UACGGAGGAUGCAAGCGUUAUCCGGAAUGAUUGGGCGUAAAGAGCGCGUAGGCGGUCCGAUAAGUCGGCUGUGAAAGUCAGGGGCUCAACCCUUGAAAGCCGGCCGAUACUGUCGGACUAGAGUCCGGAAGAGGCAAGUGGAAUUCCCGGUGUAGCGGUGAAAUGCGCAGAUAUCAGGAAGAACACCAAUGGCGAAAGCAGCUUUCUGGGACGGUACUGACGCUGAGACGCGAAAGCGUGGGGAGCGAACAGG
rnacentral:rRNA from 1 species